rnacentral:misc_RNA from 1 species
GGAAGGAUCAUUACCCACGUUUCCACGUAUCCACGCACGUGCAAUUGUUUUCGUACCUCUCCUUGUGUGGUGCCUUCGGGCGCUGCCGGGACAAAUCGGGUGCUGCUGUCCUCUCGGCUCCGGCUGAGGCGCUCCGCCCUUUACUCACCCCUUCCACCGCUUUUUUGCUAGUUGACUUUGAAAAAUGACACUGCUUGUGUGGCUGUGUUGCGUGUUUGGUUUCGGCCUUACUCCUUCGCUCCCCGUGCCUGCUGUGCCUCGUUUUCUCUAUUAAUUUAUUGAAACGUCAUUACAACUCUUAGCAAUGGAUAUCUAGGUUCUCGCAACGAUGAAGAACGCAGCGAAAUGCGAUACGUAAUGCGAAUUGCAGAAUUCAGUGAAUCAUCAAAUCUUUGAACGCAAAUGGCGCUCUUGGGUAGCCCUAGGAGCACGCCUCUCUCAGUAUCGGUUCAACCUCCUCUCAGCAGCGCACGAAUUUAUUCGAGCGUGUUGGCUGGUGAAUGAGAGUCGCAGAGGAACGCACGGCCGGCCUUCGGGUCUGUUGGGCAGCGCUCUGCGUCUCUUGAAAUGCAUGGAGUCUCCCUCUGUGCCUCGCAGCUCGUCGCUCUGAUCGAAUUUAUUUUUGAUUUGGGUGUGCGAUAGCUCGGCUCGUCCUUGUUGCUGCGGAGUGACGUGAAUACUGACCCCUCUGGGUGUCUCCUUUUUACGUGUGUCUCUGCAGCGGCUGCUCAUAGGGUGUGUCGCAGUAAACGCUUGGCAAUCGGAGUGUGUGUACGUUUCGGCUGCGGUGGCGCGUGCAAUUAAUUUAUUAAUUUGUCGUGCGAUCGGCCAAUCGACUCGGGUGCUUCGGCGCCUCGUGUCUGAAAUUUGAUCUGAGAUGAAGCGAGACAACCCCCUGAAUUUAAGCAUAUUAAUAAGGGGAGGAAAAGAAACUAACAAGGAUUCCCUCAGUAACGGCGAGUGAAGCGGGAAGAGCUCAAUUUGAAAAUCGAUCACCCAAGCGGGUCAUCGAGUUGUAGCUAGAGACGUACUAUCAGCUGCUGGUUGGGUAUAAGUUCUUUGGAAUGAGGCAUCAUAGAGGGUGAGAAUCCCGUAUAUGACCCAAAGCCAGUAGCGUACGAUGUAUGUUCCUCGAGUCGAGUUGUUUGGGAUUGCAGCUCUAAAUGGGUGGUAAGUUUCAUCUAAAGCUAAAUAAUGGCGAGAGACCGAUAGCGAACAAGUACCGUGAGGGAAAGAUGAAAAGAACUUUGAAAAGAGAGUUAAAAGUACUUGAAAUUGCUAAGAGGGAAGCGCUGACAACCAGUUCUUCGCGUCGCUCGACGCUCGUGUGCUCCUGAUGCUGUCGUCUGUAGUGGGUAACUCUGCAGGCGGCGGUCUUUUUGGGCGGCCGCGGGUUGAGGUCGGCGUGUCAGUCAAGAUCCAUUCGAUGAGGGGGAGAAGGUGAAGGGAAAGGUAGGAGAUCCGUCUCUGUUAUAGUCCCUGCACUCUACCUCGCGUUGGAUGGAGGAAGGAAUAGUGCGCCGCUUGCGGCUUAGUCCCGCGUGUCCUGUCGCUCCAUGCUGCUCUGAGUGCAAUGCUCUCUCUGUGGUGUGCGGGUGCCACUGCGCGCGUCGACUCUCUGUGCUAUCACGAUCUUGUACCAAAUGGUUGUCAUCGACCCGUCUUGAAACACGGACCAAGGAGUCUAACAUCUAUGCGAGUAUUUGAGUGCCAAACUCGAAUGCGCAAUGAAAGUAAAGGUAGCCUCGUGCUGCUGAGGUAGGAAUCCGCGUCAAAAAACGGAGGCACUAUCGACCGAUCAUCACUUGUGAAAGAUUUGAGUAAGAGCAUAUCUGUUGGGGACCCGAAAGAUGGUGAUCUAUGCCUGAAACAGGGUGAAGCCAGGGGAAACUCUGGUGGAGGCUCGUAGCGAUACUGACGUGCAAAUCGUUCGUCUGAUUUGGGUAUAGGGGCGAAAGACUAAUCGAACCAUCUAGUAGCUGGUUCCCUC